AAAAAAAAAACAGGUUGAGUCUUGUGGUGGGUUGAGGAGAAACACUCCCCAUAAACACAAGCGUGAGAUGGAGCGUAAAACACACUCACUAUCCAAAAAAAAAAGAAAAGGGAAGUAAUCAUAGGAAAAGAACAAAAAGCCCCCGUGUAAAAAAAGAAAAAAAAAAGAGAAGGAAGAAAAGAAAGUAUAAGUAUCCUGCAUGUACCCUUGAAUUUGGUUUUGUUUAAUUUUAGUUGAAUCGUGCCUAUCUUUGAGAUUUUUGAGUUUGCACUAUAUGAUUCCUUCUAAGAAGUUGUUUAUGUAUUGAAUUUGGGUCCUUAUCAGUUAUCUUAGAUGUUAUUCACACACGCACGCUAUACCAGUAAUAGUUGUUCAAGAAUUGAGAAUUAAUACGUAAUUGUGGAUUGGUUUUGAUAAUUUGUUUUGUUAAGUUGCUUGUUUUCUCUGAG
rnacentral:lncRNA from 1 species